UACGUAGGGGGCUAGCGUUGCUCGGAAUCACUGGGCGUAAAGCGCACGUAGGCGGCUUUCUAAGUCAGGGGUGAAAUCCUGGAGCUCAACUCCAGAACUGCCUUUGAUACUGGAGAGCUCGAGUCCGGAAGAGGUGAGUGGAACUCCGAGUGUAGAGGUGAAAUUCGUAGAUAUUCGGAAGAACACCAGUGGCGAAGGCGGCUCACUGGUCCGGUACUGACGCUGAGGUGCGAAAGCGUGGGGAGCAAACAGG
rnacentral:rRNA from 1 species